GUAGGGAAUAUUGGGCAAUGGAUGCAAGUCUGACCCAGCCAUCCCGCGUGCCGGAAGAAGGCCCUCAGGGUUGUAAACGGCUUUUGACGGUGAAGAAUCGACAGGAUGCGUCCUGUUUUGACGGUAGCCGUUGAAUAAGCACCGGCUAACUCCGUGCCAGCAGCCGCGGUAAUACGGAGGGUGCGAGCGUUGUCCGGAUUUAUUGGGUUUAAAGGGGGCGUAGGCUGGAAGGUCAGUCAGCGGUGAAAAGCUGUCGCUUAACGAUAGUCUUGCCGCAGAUACUUCCUUUCUUGGAUGAGGAGGAGGCCACUGGAACGGAUGGUGUAGCGGUGAAAUGCAUCGAUAUCAUCCAGAACACCGAUUGCGAAGGCAGGUGGCUGUACCUUAAUCGACGCUGAUGCACGAAAGCAUGGGGAGCAAACAGGAUUAGAAACCCCUGUAGUCC
rnacentral:rRNA from 1 species